AUACGUAGGGUGCGAGCGUUAAUCGGGAAUUACUGGGCGUAAAGCGUGCGCAGGCGGAUUGUUAAGCAAGACGUGAAAUCCCCGGGCUUAACCUGGGAAUGGCGUUUUGAACUGGCAGUCUAGAGUGCGUCAGAGGGGGGUGGAAUUCCACGUGUAGCAGUGAAAUGCGUAGAGAUGUGGAGGAACACCGAUGGCGAAGGCAGCCCCCUGGGAUGGCACUGACGCUCAUGUACGAAAGCGUGGGUAGC
rnacentral:rRNA from 1 species